UACGAAGGGAGCUAGCGUUGUUCGGAAUCACUGGGCGUAAAGCGCACGUAGGCGGGUCUGUCAGUCAGGGGUGAAAUCCCGGAGCUCAACUCCGGAACUGCCCUUGGUACAGCAAGCCUUGAGUCCGGAAGAGGUAGGUGGAAUUCCUAGUGUAGAGGUGAAAUUCGUAGAUAUUAGGAAGAACACCAGUGGCGAAGGCGGCCUACUGGUCCGGCACUGACGCUGAGGUGCGAAAGCGUGGGGAGCAAACAGG
rnacentral:rRNA from 1 species